rnacentral:rRNA from 1 species
UCCUGAUGCAGCAACGCCGCGUGGGGGACGAGAGGCCUUCGGGUUGUAAACCCCUUUUAGCAGGGAAGAAGCGCAAGUGACGGUACCUGCAGAAAAAGCACCGGCUAACUACGUGCCAGCAGCCGCGGUAAUACGUAGGGUGCAAGCGUUGUCCGGAAUUAUUGGGCGUAAAGAGCUCGUAGGCGGUGUGUCGCGUCUGCUGUGAAAAUCCAAGGCUCAACCUUGGACCUGCAGUGGGUACGGGCACACUAGAGUGCGGUAGGGGAGAUUGGAAUUCCUGGUGUAGCGGUGGAAUGCGCAGAUAUCAGGAGGAACACCAAUGGCGAAGGCAGAUCUCUGGGCCGUAACUGACGCUGAGGAGCGAAAGCGUGGGGAGCGAACAGGAUUAGAUACCCUGGUAGUCCACGCCGUAAACGGUGGGAACUAGAUGUGGGGUCCGUUCCACGGAUUCCGUGUCGCAGCUAACGCAUUAAGUUCCCCGCCUGGGGAGUACGGCCGCAAGGCUAAA